rnacentral:rRNA from 1 species
GACGAACGCUGGCGGCGUGCUUAACACAUGCAAGUCGAACGGAAAGGCCCUGCUUUUGUGGGGUGCUCGAGUGGCGAACGGGUGAGUAAAACGUGAGUAACCUGCCCUUGACUUUGGGAUAACUUCAGGAAACUGGGGCUAAUACCGGAUAGGAGCUCCUGCUGCAUGGUGGGGGUUGGAAAGUUUCGGCGGUUCGGGAUGGACUCGCGGGUUAUCAGCUUGUUGGUGGGGUAGUGGCUUACCAAGGCUUUGACGGGUAGCCGGCCUGAGAGGGUGACCGGCCACAUUGGGCCUGAGAUACGGCCCAGACUCCUACGGGAGGCAGAAGUGGGGAAUAUUGCACAAUGGGCGGAAGCCUGAUGCAGCAACGCCGCGUGCGGGAUGACGGCCUUCGGGUUGUAAACCGCUUUCGCCUGUGACGAAGCGUGAGUGACGGUAAUGGGUAAAGAAGCACCGGCUAACUACGUG